GAUUUCUGGUUGGAUGCGCCUGGCCCGCCACGGUUUCGUGUGUGAGUGCCGGUUGUGCGUCUGCCAUCCUUCUAGUGUUGGACCAUUCAGCAAUGAAUCGGUUCAGUGCUAGAUCUUUUACUUUGAAAAAAUUAGAGUGUUUCAAGCAGGCAUGUUGCUAUGAAUACAUUAGCAUGGAAUAAUAAGUUAGGACUUCGGUUCUAUUUUGUUGGUUUCUAGAACUGCAGUAAUGAUUGAUAGGGAUAGUUGGGGGUGCUAGUAUUCAGUGGCCAGAGGUGAAAUUCUCGGAUUCACUGAAGACUAACUUAUGCGAAAGCAUU
rnacentral:rRNA from 1 species